rnacentral:tRNA from 1 species
AGAGGGCUGCUGUGGCAGGUUACUCCGAUAUAGUAAAAUGUAAGACUUUUGAUUGUUUUCCUC